AACAGGCGUCGCGGUUUGUCAAGGAACUGAGAGAAGAGGCUUAAGAAAAUUAUUCACCACUCAUAAGUCAUGGAGACAUCCUCAAAAGGUCUGCUUACCCAAGUUACUCAGUUUUGGAACCUCCUAGAUGAUCUAGCUCAGAGUGACCCUGAGGGCUAUGAGAAGUUUAUUCAGCAGCAGCUGAAAGAAGGGAAACAGCUCUGUGCUGCCCCAGAACCACAGCUUUGUCUACAGACCAGGAUUCUGAAACCAAAAGAAAAAAUACUUUUUAUCAACCUGUGUCAGUGGACAAGGAUCCCAGCUCCCCAAUCAACCACUCAUCCAGUACCUCUAACUGUUGGCAAACCAGAAGAUACAACUGAGAUAUCAGAUGCUUACACAGUCAUUGAUGUUGCCUACAAUCCUGAUGUUCUUCAUGCAGCAGAAAAGGACCAAGUGAAAAAAAAUCAGUUAAUUCAGAUGGCCAUGAAAUGCAUUGAGGAGAAAUUCCAGUUCACCCUCUCACACUCUUACCAUAUUACCAAAUUUAGAAUAAAAGGAAGCAUUCAAAGAAUGAAACAAAAUCUGAUGGGAAUCCAAACUGAUUCCAUAGAUUUAAGAGAAAAAAUGAGAAGGGAACUAACUCUUGGACAGAUACGAAGCAGUACUAUGAGCAAUCCAGAUCACUUUCCUCAACUGUUACUGCCAAAAGACCAAGUUUCAGGCAAAGCAGUGUGUCUGAUAGAAGAGAUUUCCAGUACUGAAAUCCAGGUGGAGAUGAAGAUGCCAGCCUAUGAACUAAAAAUUGUGCAUGAUCACAGUGAGAAACCUCUGAAAAUUGAGUUGAAAGUUGAAUUACCUGGUAUUAAUUCUGUCUCUCUCUGUGACCUUAGUGUUUCUGAGGAUGAUUUAUUGAUUGAAGUAUCUGAGAAGUACAGAUUACAUCUGAAUCUUCCAAAACUUAUUGAUACUGAAAUGACCACAGCAAAAUUUAUCAAAGAAAAAUCCACGCUAAUCAUCACAAUGCCUUUGGUGUGAAAGAAGAGCAUCAUAUGUUUUGGGUUUUCAGUGCUAAAGUCAUGUGAAUUAAAGGACCUUCAUUUUGGCUAAAGAGGGAACAACAGAACCACAAGCAUUAGCGAAAGAUGAAUUAUCUUUGAAGUUUUGAAUGUUUGAACCAGAUUUGGAUCAUAUUGAUGAUGGUCCCUUGUGAUAAGCUUGUUUCUUUUGGAUAAUCUUCAACCUAAAAUUACUAAUUACUGAAAAAUCAAAUUAAUGUAUUGUUUUCAUAAUAAUACAGCAAGGUAAAAGUC